CAUCUGGUGGUAAAGUUGCACACCACAACCAACUGAGCACCGGACAGGAGGGGACACUUUACGGUGGCGCCCCGCUAAUUCCAUUUCCGGUUUCCCGCACCGUUGGAAGUUCAAUGCGAAUGCGAUGUAUUCGGGACCGUUUGCUGCAUCUGUAUUUAAUGCUGCGUUCCAUUACAUCUCGGAACUCGGACCCCAGAAGUCGGAGCUUUUGACCACAUCUCACAGCUUACUACAGUGAAUGGAGUUGACCCAGGUCAUGCGAUCAGAUGUCUUGCAUACAGGAUGACGCCUGAACCAUUUGCUCCAUAUGCUGAGGAAAAGCUUUGAAAAAACUACAACAAUAAGUUGACCUUUGAGCUUAAUUCAUUCUGUUAAGAAUACUUUUUCCAAAGGUCAAUGAUGAAAUUACAUUCUCAAAAUCAUGAUGCUGCAUGGCAAAUCAAUAUGUACAUAAAAAUACAUGAACACGCCAACAUUUGACUGUAUAAACAGUAAAAAGCAGGACUGAGUGAUUUUUUAGUGAGGAACCCAUUGUCUGUUUUAGCAGAAUACAUCGGUUGGUAUUGAGUAAAUGCCAUUUGUAAUAAAUGGGAGAAAACUUAA